AUUGAACGCUGGCGGCAUGCCUUACACAUGCAAGUCGAACGGUAACAGGUCUUCGGAUGCUGACGAGUGGCGAACGGGUGAGUAAUACAUCGGAACGUGCCCGAUCGUGGGGGAUAACGAAGCGAAAGCUUUGCUAAUACCGCAUAAGAUCUACGGAUGAAAGCAGGGGACCGCAAGGCCUUGCGCGAACGGAGCGGCCGAUGGCAGGUUUGGUAGUUGGUGGGAUAAAAGCUUACCAAGCCGACGAUCUGUAGCUGGUCUGAGAGGACGACCAGCCACACUGGGACUGAGACACGGCCCAGACUCCUACGGGAGGCAGCAGUGGGGAAGUUUGGACAAUGGGCGAAAGCCUGAUCCAGCCAUGCCGCGUGCAGGAUGAAGGCCUUCGGGUUGUAAACUGCUUUUGUACGGAACGAAAAGACUCUGGUUAAUACCUGGGGUCCAUGACGGUACCGUAAGAAUAAGCACCGGCUAACUACGUGCCAGCCGCCGCAGUAAAAC
rnacentral:rRNA from 1 species